CAACAGAUGUUUCUCUGAUCAAGUGUCCCAUAUGUUUCCAGGGUCAAUAAAUGGAGGUGUUUUGAAGCUAUCCUGAUGUCUCCGGUCUGAAAUUUCUUAUGUACAAAACUGGAUCUGCUACACCUUAUCCUGCUGAAAGAGGCCACAGCCAUCAGGGAAUACCAUUGCCAUGAAGGGGUGUACCUGGUCUGCAACAAUGUUUAGCUUGGGUUCUUUCCACAGUUCAUCCUGGUGCCAUCACUUCCUCAGAUAUAUUCCUGCAAUGUCGGAUGAUGAUUUCCAUGGAGAAAUUCCAGAUUUGAAUUGUUCUGGUUAACAAGCAAAGAGUGUUCAACGUUAUACAGGAGCUGGCGAGCCAAUCUGUUGUACACCAGAGCCUGGACCAGAAACAUUUCGCAAUAGGAAUGUCUGAGUGGUAGGACGAAACAUUCUUUUGCUGAAAUUUGUCUAAAUAUUAGAGCAAGAACUAUAUCCUUUUCUGGAUCAAAGUCAAAUUCUUCCCAUAGCUACACUGCUUUGUGACGAAAUUGAGCUGAAAUGUGGAUGAAAAGGAGCGAAUAACUGAGCCGAUUUAAAGUUAUACUGAAGAGGAGACAAAUUCCCACUCUCAUUGCACAUUUAGAGUGAGAGCAAUUUACAUAAUAUAAUAUAAGACAUUUAAUUGAAUAUACAUUGAGUUGAUGUAACAUUGGGUAUCUUACCUGUGAAUAAGAUUUUUGUUUUCAUUGUCCUCUGUAUUUUAUCCUUAUUUUAUUGUUUUCCAAGAAGAGUUCUGAAAGGUAAUAAUUCACAGGUUAU